GAGAGGGACAGACGGGUUUAAGGAAAGUAAACUUCAGAAUAACAACGUUAUCUUUAUUUUUACUAAGACUAAAAUAAUGUUUGUUUUUGUAGAUGUUGAAAUCCAGAGACAAGAUAACUUCAUUCUUUUGAGACUGAUAACUCAAACUAACUGGAGUUGAGGACACAGAAGUCUGCUUGUGUGAGGAGGAGGUUUUCUCAGCUUCUUCUGAAGAGAUGGAAAGAUCGUUUAAGGCAAGUAAAAUUUAUAAUUUCAUGUUAUCAGUUGUUGUUGUUUUUUACUAAGAGUAAAAUAAUGUUUUUUUGUUUUUGUAGAUGUUAAAAGCCAGAGACAUGGGAGAGCAUCAUUCUUUUGAGAGUUUAUGACUCAAACCAACUUUGGAGUUGUCUUGUCUGAUUUGGAGAGUCAUCAUUCCUGGUCUUCUCUCUUAAAGGUAAAUUUCACACACAAAAUUAUUUACUUGCCCUCAUGUCAUUC